rnacentral:rRNA from 1 species
UACGUAGGGGGCUAGCGUUGUCCGGAAUCAUUGGGCGUAAAGAGCGCGUAGGCGGCUAGAUAAGUCCGGUGUGAAAGUCACAGGCUCAACCUGUGAAUGCCGCUGGAAACUGUCUGGCUAGAGUCCGGAAGGGGCGAGUGGAAUUCCUGGUGUAGCGGUGAAAUGCGCAGAUAUCAGGAAGAACACCCGUGGCUAAGGCGGCUCUCUAGUACGGUACUGACGCUGAGACGCGAAAGCGUGGGGAGCGAACAGG